CCAGCUGCACCUAAGCUGUAAUUAACUGCAUCUCUGCCUGAGCAGGCAGGGCAAAUGGGGGCAGGGGUUAAGACGGCAACCCCCCGGGCCUCAGAAGAAAAAGGCCUAAAAGAGCAGAGGCAGGAGCAGGGCCCGCAGAGCAGCGGAGCGGAGUCGGAGCAGUGGCUGGUUGCGCAGGAGGAGCAGGCGGCUGAACUGAGGCUCAGGCCCGGGGAGGGGGAACAAGAGGAACCCCGGGCUCCGGCAGAGGCUCCCCGCAGCCGCCGGGGGAGGGGAGGGGAGGGGAAGGGAAGGACCUGGCGGGGAAAUGCUGGGUUUGGGCUUCCUCCUGCGGCCCCUCCGGGGCAGCCCCAGCCCCAGCCCCCCGGCUAUCCCCGGCCGCUCGGCUCCGCUCCCGGGCCCCGCGGAAGAGGCGGGCCCCGGCAGGCGGCGCCUCCUUUCGGUUUCGAUUCCGGAGCCGCUCCCGGGGCGGAGCGCGGCGGCUGCGGGGGCCGGGGGAAGUCGCUGCAAGGAAACGAAACUGAGGCCAAGGCGGCCGAGUGCGGAGCCGCCGUCGCUGUUCCGCCGCUCUCCGAGCCGCCCCCAGCCACGCGGUUGUGCCAAAAUGGCAGAAUAUUGUGUUAAGCCAAAGUUGUACAAGGGUAAACUUCAUGAAUAUUGUCAAAAGACUAAACUGCAACUUGAGUAUAAGGAUGUCAAAGUGGAAGGCCCUCCUCAUGAUCGUGUGUUCACUGUCAUGGUUGUAAUAGAUAACAGAGAGUAUCCUGUAGCUACAGGUAAAACCAAGAAAGAGGCAAAAGAAGAGGCCGCAAAGACAGCAUGGGAUAGCAUAACACAAGAAAAUCAAACUAAACAGGCUUCACUCCCACAAACUCCGCAGCCGCAGCCAUCACCGCCGCCACCACCACAGCCAACAGCGUUUUCAUCAGAUAUACUGGAAAAGAUGCAACCACUUGACUAUAUCUCCAUGCUUACCAAAUAUGGACUAAAACAUAACAUAAUGAUUGAGUAUAAAUUAGAAGAUGAAUCUGGACCCCCCCAUAAAAAAACAUUUUCUUUUAGCUGUAAAAUUGGUGACCAGAUUUAUGGUAAAGGCACUGGAAAUGAUAAAAAAGCUGCAAAACAGGCUGCUGCAAAACAUGCAUAUGAGCAGUUACAUUUACAAGAAACGUCAAGGAUACAGGCAGGGAGACACUCAGCUGUUGCCAGUUCUGCAAAUAGUCUGCUCAGUUUUUCCAGUGGAAUGUCAAGCUGGUCAUCUGCAAAUGGUUCUGAUUCUGCAUCUAAAAAUAUCAACUCAGAUGGGAGCUUAGUAAAUAAAAUGAAUGACCUGAAAGUAGAUGAAGAUUGUUCAUCUCCUUGGGCAACUCCCAAAAAUGCUGCCAUGAAAUCGAAGAGAAGAGAGAUCUUAACUAAAUUGGCACCCUUGUUCUCAAGUCAGCAGAUCAAGGAAGAGAAAAAGGAAAAUAAAUACACAAAAGAUGAAAGACUUAUCAAGGAUUUUGAAGAGCUAGAGCCAAUUGGCAUCGGUGGAUUUGGGAAUGUUUUCAAAGCAAAACAAAUUAUUGAUAAGAGGUACUAUGCUGUCAAACGAGUCACGUGUAGCGAUAAAGUACAGCGUGAGGUACAAGCACUAGCAGAACUUGCGCAUGAAAACAUCAUACGGUAUUACACCUCUUGGACUGGGAAAGACUUUCUCAAUUCUGAUAACAGUUCAAGCCUUUCAAGAUCGAGGCCAGAUUUGCUAUGUGAUUGCCUUUUUAUCCAAAUGGAAUUCUGUGAGAAAGGAACACUGGAUGGCUGGAUUGAUGAAAAGAGAGGGAAGGAAAAUUACCAAAAUGAGUCUCUCAUCAAAUUUAGACAAAUAGUGAAAGGAGUGGAAUAUAUUCAUUCUAAAGGGUUUAUUCACAGAGACCUCAAGCCCCUCAACAUAUUCAUAUCUCAUGAAAAUAAAAUAAAAAUAGGUGACUUUGGACUUGUAACUUCAAUGACUGAUGAUCUACGGACAACAGAAAAGGGAACAAGAUCAUAUAUGAGCCCAGAACAGGAGUGGCCCAAAAUAAGAGAAUGUGUACUUCCAGAGGAGUUCAGCAAGAAAUUUCCGGCAGAGGGAAAGUUCUGUAAUAUUCAUCUGUGACAGGGUAUACCAGACCCUCCGAGGCCAUCUGCUGAAGGUCUUGUGGCCCUGCCACACCCCAUCCCAGAAAAGGGCAGUGGAAAGGAUCCUCCGAGCUGCCGAGAGCAGCUGUGUGUGACACAGCCAAUCAGCGUCCAGCAGGUCCGAUAAGAUGGAGCUGCAGGGCCAGACUGGCAUGCAUUAACUAAGAGGUCCUCUGCCACUUGCCCAUUAAACUUCAAGAUUUACAACAGUAAAGUCUCUGUUCACCACAACUGAUGGGUUUCGCCAGCAGAUGCCUGAUGAACGCAGUUUAUAAUGGGACAAGUACCAUUUUAUAAACUUUGUUAUAAAGUAUGAUCUUGAGACACUGAAGCUUCAAGAACAGAACUGAUCAAAUUUAGAUCACAUUGGACCACAGCAAGGGUUAUUUGUGGGUUUGCUGCUUUUUAAAAACAAAUUUAAAGUUUUUAUUAAAAUAAACUUUUGUGCCAGAUAUGCUGGUAAAGUUCAAGAAUGCACAGCAAACUAUUCUUGUAUCUUUUGUCAUUGGUUCUCUAUCGUCCAUGUCCACUUUCAGAAGGCUCUUUUUAUGACUUUACAUUAAAAAUCCUGAGUCUGCACAUGCACAUCAUUGUGAAGCUCCUCUCUCAUCUAGGAUGGCAGGUGAACAGCCUCCUCUGAGCUAGACUGAGGAGCCUGACACAAGCUACCAUGAAACAUAUAAAUAGUAAAUGGUUAGUAAGGUGGAAGAGGCCUUCUACCUGAUGUCUGAAGCGUCCUUAAAAGGCUUACACACCAAAAUGAAUUCAUGUGAAUUUCUUGUUUCUAAGCCCAAGGAUGUAACUUCUGUCGCAUAUAAGCUCUAUUGGACCACAGGACACAGGCUCUCGCAGUGCAGCAUUCCCCAGGAUAGCUACUAGCAAGUUGGCAAUAGGCACACACCAACUCCUAAGCCCUCUGAGGAUACGCUUGGUGUGUCCAGCAUCUGUUCCAGUGGACAUUCACAUAAUUCCCAGAUCCUGUGCUCCCAAAGGAAUAGUCCACCCCUGCUUGCCAGUUAUACUUUAGAUCACAGCACUCCUUAAGAUACAACACUUAGAUUUGUUUACAGAGAAAAUAUAAGUUUAUUUAACAAAGAUUCAAACGAUAGCAUGCAGAAAUAUUGGAAACAAAGGGUUACAUAUAAAAUAAAAUCAUAACACACGUACCAGAGCCUAAACUUAAUUAACAAGACACGCCCUUCUUUAAUUAAGUUUAGCUCACCCCAAAGUCUUCCCAGUGUUUUUCAGCAAAGCUUGGCUGUGAUCCUUUUUUCAUAAGGCAAACACACGGUCAACUUAUUUCCUAGAUGAAGGAUAAUUGGGUUACCUCUGCACCCCCAGAUAUAGUUCCACCAAUCCACUGUCUUUACUUGUAAACAGGGUAAUUCCCCCAUACCUUGUUUUUUUCCUGUCUAGAAUCUCCCCCGGAGACUUUGCAAUCACUUGAUUAGUAUUUUUUUCAGACUGUAGAUAGGCGUUCAUUGUGAAGUAUACAUCACUCAAUCUGCAUAUAGCCAGUCAGCCAGAAAAGUUUCUUGUUUGAAAGAAAUUUGUUUAACAUCUUUUAGUGACCAGUUCCAAGUCAGAAACCAUAAGAACAUCAUUUUCUGUGUGUGUGUGUGUAUACACACACACACACUGAAAAUGACAUUCUUACAGUGCGUGUGUAUACACACACACACACACACACACACGUAACUCCUUACAUAUUAUCCAUCCAUCCAUUUCAUAAUAAUCGUGAUGACCAGUGUGACACAAGCUUUCAGUAGAGACCUUACAUGACAUCCUUUGGUGAACUAGGAUGUAGAUACUAGACCCAUGGGAAUCCUGUAACCCUUAUGCACCCUGUGCCCUCUGCCAGUUGGCACCAAGAGGUCCCUGGGUAACACAGGGCAUCUCAGGGAGAGAAGCAUUGCCAGUCCAAUAACACCCAAUAUUAUACAAAACUGUUAAGAAAUGAAAUAAUAUUGUUGUAAAUGAAGACUGAAGAAUUUGUAGCCAGCUCUAAACCAUAAACCAUCCUUCCACCCCAAAGCAGCGUAUUAGCCUUACCUUUUGUGUGUCUAACUGCUGACAGGCCCGCUGGCUUUUUCUAAGGUCCCCUUCUAUCUUACGUUCUUCUUGUUUGCUUUUGAAUCUCAUUCUGUCAAUAAAAAAGAAGCUAGCUACAAUCAACAGGCAGAUAACAAAUUCACAUAUUAUAGGCAAGAACUUAUUGUAACAUAAAGAGUUGAGAUUUUGGACACACCAUAGUUCCCCACAACAUUUGUAACUCUGCUCCUUUGUACAGGCAUACAGUCCUCUGAUAGGAUCAGAGAAGGCCAUCCUAAACAGGACCAUGCUGAAGCUUAAACACAUAAUUGUAAAGUUAUAUGUACGUAUGUGUCUUCCUUGAGGAGGCUACAUUUAAAUAGUUUUAAAAACAGAUUUCUGGUUUAAGUUGCACCCUCUAACAAAUGGCAAUAUGUACUUUUUUUGUCUGUCCUCUAGCAUUGCUAAUUUUCAUAGUAAUUAAGGGGCACAGCAGAGGGAAUUUAUGUAUUUUUGUUUUCUUGUGUCAAACCAUUUUUUCUUUUAAAAUAAUUGGUAAUUACCCUCCUCAGGGCCCACUCAUCACACAAAUGUUAUUCAGAAUUGAUAAGACAUUUUAAUGGUAGUCAAACCUGAGGCAGCCAGUACCACUUUAAGAUAAGUAUGAAACCUGGAUCCUUUUUUACAUUAGCUGAAAAUGUUUACAAUAACAUGAAAAUAAAUCAUUUUACCUAAACUGAUCUGCAGCCUCUUCAUCGGCUUGUUUUUUCAUAUGAAUCUUUUUUCUGUAGUUUUCUAGCCUUUCUUCUGCUUUCCGCUUUUGUAAUUCUUCAUGACCAAGCCCACUUCUGCCUGUUGAAGUUCAAAACACUGUUGUGAGCAGCUGAGAGACUGUGAACUCCAACUAAUUAAAAGAGGUAAAUAUUACACACCUGUUUUAAUGUUCAGAGGAAUAGGCUCAACAAUGCCUUCUCCUGUAGGAAAAAAGGGCAGGCAGCUUAUGAAGUCAGGUCUCUCCCCAAAUCAUAAACACAGCCUAUCCAAGUAUACAUAAGAUUUUGCCACUGAACAAUUGGUUUUUAUGGUAAUUUUUUUUUUUAAACAGAUGGAUAAAUCAAGCAUCAUGGUUCACUGACAAUGGACCGGCGGAUCAGGCAUUCCUUAUUUUCUCUGUUGAAUUGUAGCGUUGCUAUGUGCUUCAUUCAGGCUGCUGCCCUACGCACCAAAGAAGGAUGGCUUAAUUUGAUAGGCAUAACAUAUUUGUAAUUAAUAAUAAUCAUUAAUAAUACACUGCACCCUUCUGUAGCAUCUUUCAUAUGAGAAUCUUCAGACACUUUACAAACAUUCACUAACUAAGCGUCAGUAUGCCCUCACUAUUCACUCAUGGAAUGCAACAUUUAUUCAUCCCCUAGUGAUUUACUCUGGAUAGAUCCCAGAUGACAUUUUUGCUUCACUAGGGCUCUGUGUAGAAGGACUUAGUGUCUGUGUGCACAGCUCCCUUUCCAGAAUCAAGCUGUAAAUUUGUGCAGAUUGGAAAUAGGUUCUUUAAUAUUUAAAAGUUACUUGCUUGAAAGGAACACCAAAAUCAAAAGGCUAUGCCCUGCUACAGCUAGUAAGAUUCUUGUAAACUAUCAUCCACAUCUGAAAUACCAUUUAGUUAGCAGCAAGUACAGUUUCUUUCUCCUCCAAUUCCCCCAUAUCCCUCACCCUUUUUAUUUCAGAGAUUUUAAGGGCUUGCUCUCACCUUCUGUGCUUUCUUCUGCUGUGCCAAGGUGGCAGUUAAGAACUAUGCUAACAGACAGGAAUUCUUAUAGAGGUAUUCAUUUAAUUCAUCCAGAGACAGGUGGAACAGUAUUAGUAACAGGUACCCUUUUAAACCCACAUUUUGAAAAAUGGGCAUACAUCUAAAUUCUUAGAAGUUAACAAACUUACCACUCUUGCCAAGGGCCUGCCCACUUUUGUACCCCAUCUUUUGGAGCAUAGCAAAGCCUUUGUUUUCAUUUCCUAAAGCACUUUUCAACACAGUGUCACGUCUCUCUCUUUCCUCUUCUUUUAGGCUCUUUUGUCUAUUUUUCUGGUUAGCUUCUCUCUGCUUUUCUUCUUUUUGAAUAGCUUCUUUCACAUGCCUCACCAUUGGCAAUCCUGGCCUGACAUCCUGUCUAA